UGUUACAGUAACUCUCCUGACGGUGAACUGGGGACAGUGAACGCAGCACCGUGGCUGUUACAGUAACUCUCCUGACGGUGAACUGGAGACAGUGAACGCAGCACCGUGGCUGCUACAAUAACUCUCCUGAAGGUGAACUGGAGCCAGUGAACGCAGCAUCGUGGCUGCUACAGUAACUCUCCUGACGGUGAACUGGAGACAGUGAACGCAGCAUCGUGGCUGGUACAGUAACUCUCCUGACGGUGAACUGGAGACAGUGAA